UGUCCUUUUGGACCCCUUCGCCCAGCCCACUUCCGACCUAUUUUCGACCUACUUCCUCUCGUUAUAUCAGCUCGACUUCUAAACAGAAAAUCUUCACCACUCAUCACUGAAACCCUAGCCGUUUUCCUCUUGUUGUUUCGCUGUUUAUCGAAGCUGUUAUCACCUUCCAAAGAUCGCUGUUCAAUCGAAACUGAAACCGUUUGAUCUCAGACGUUCUAGACUCAUGUACCUUCGAUUCCCUAUCUCGGUUUUGUUAAACGACUCGUCUACUGUUCGUGCUUCAGAGGCGAACCAGAGUUAGUUGCUUGCCGGUAUUUCACGUGGAUUAGCAAGCA